rnacentral:rRNA from 1 species
UGGGGAAUAUUGGACAAUGGGCGAAAGCCUGAUCCAGCCAUGCCGCGUGUGUGAAGAAGGUCUUCGGAUUGUAAAGCACUUUAAGUUGGGAGGAAGGGCAUUAACCUAAUACGUUAGUGUUUUGACGUUACCGACAGAAUAAGCACCGGCUAACUCUGUGCCAGCAGCCGCGGUAAUACAGAGGGUGCAAGCGUUAAUCGGAAUUACUGGGCGUAAAGCGCGCGGAGGGGGUUUGUUAAGUUGGAAGUGAAAUCCCCGGGGUGAACCUGGGAACUGCAUUCAAAACUGACUGACUAGAGUAUGGUAGAGGGUGGUGGAAUUUCCUGGGUAGCGGUGAAAUGCGUAGAUAUAGGAAGGAACACCAGUGGCGAAGGCGACCACCUGGACUAAUACUGACACUGAGGUGCGAAAGCGUGGGGAGCAAACA